CGCUAUGCGUCGCCAGGUGUUUCAUCAGAUUCGAGGUGUUACCUCCUUUGCACAGUAUCACCUUAAAGCACUUGUUGCAGGCUGCUGAGUUUGCAUCUUUUGUUGUGUGUAUCUUUUGCCUGUCCGAUCACCCGCCUGUGCGAACACCCGCCUCUCCGAUCACCCACGUGUGCAAACACCCGCCUGUGCGAAUACCCGCCUGUCCGAUCACUCGCCUGUGCGAACACCCGCCUGUCCGAUCACCCGCCUGUGCAAACACCCGCCUGUCCGAUCACCCUGUGCAAACACCCGCCUGUCCGAUCACCCGCCUGUGUGAACACCCGUCUAAUGAAUUACUCUCAGCUGUAAACACACAAUGUCAAGUCUCUCUCUCUAACCAUCUGUCAUGUCCCGCCCUCUCUCGCUCUCUCUCCGUCUGUCAUGUCCCUCACCCUCUCUCUCUCUGUCAUGUCCCUCUGCUCUCUUUCUGUCCGUCUAUCAUGUCUCCCGCCCCGUCACCCUCUCUCUCCUCGUCUGUCAUGUCCCUCGUCCUCUCUCUCUCGCCCACAGACCCCUCACGGACCACCUGACCCAUCCACGACCCCAUACUGGGCCCACAGAGGAACAAGGAGAAGCAAGAAGCAGACGGGAGGAUGGUGGCAGGAUGUUCUUUCUGUGAGCCUCUGCAGACUGAUCAGACUUACAGCAGAACCAAGAAGGGACUGAAGUUUUCCACUCUGAUGGGUCUGGCCUCUUAAGCACUGAUCAGUAAAUGCUCAUUAUUAGCAGUAAAUCCUGGACGUCAUCUAAAACAUCCUGCAGCUCCGUCACAAUCAGCUGUUUCCUGUCCUUCAUCUUGGAAGCUGCGACACUACGAGUGCAGCCACAAGCUGCGAUGAACCACUUUGAUGUGACUCAAACUGAAAUUAUCUGAGAAACUUCACACACACUACUGGAGGACAUUUAUCAUCACCUGAAGACGAUUCCAGGUCCAGCUGUACGAUCAGCUGACCCCGGCUGUGGGUCCACGUUCUAGCCUAACUGACGCCAUUCUGACAAAAACAAGGACAUCCUGAAACCUGUGGUGGCGAAAGACUCAGUGAACAGGAACAGAGCAAAGGUCACGGCAGAAACACCACUAACUCACCAUUUAUAGGUCACAUUCAGUCAGACUGUCAGAAUAAAAGCAGCUGAACCCUGAAAUGAUCAGAUUAUUGAUCCGCGAUCAGCAGGAGACUCAAAUCAUUCUCACGAUUUGGCUUUCUAAGACCCGUGAGACAGACAGUGGAAAACACACACGCACACACACACACAGACAGGGACAAACACACGCUUACACACACACAGACAAACACACGCUUACACACACACACACACACACACACACACUUUGGUCAGUAGAUUUAAUUUAUUGAGAGAAAAGUAAGACAAAGGCUGAGUGAGGCUGAGAGGGAAUGAAGAGCAAGAGGGAGGAGACAGUCGUUUGAACAGUGUUUAAUCUGCAGAGUGGGUGGUCCACGGACACACACACACACAC